AAGGGGGAUACUGGGUCAAAUGGUGGUUCCAUUCCCAGCUUUCACAGGAAUCUCCAUACUGCUUUCCAAAUUGGCUGUACCAUUUUGCAGUCCCACCAGCAAU
rnacentral:pre_miRNA from 1 species